GGAGGAGUAGCUUAUUAUGGCGGUGCAUCUCACGUCGGAAGCUUCCUCUUUCUGUCCACAAAAGGGGCAUCGAAUGAGGCCCCAGUAGGGACGGAGUUAACUAGGAGGAAGGAUAUUCUCUUCCUACUACCCUGCUUCUACCCCGACUGCCUUUCGGGAAAUUCGGAGCGCGACCUGAAAGGAGGAGCAACUAUACUCUUCUUUCCCGGGUCAACGAUGCAAGGUUUGUUGAGGCGCGCGCGCUAGAAGCCCAUGCAAAGAAUCGCGCGUGUGUCUCUAGACCAAGGGAGUAGAAGUCCGGGCAGGGAAUACUGGACUUCAAUUCUUGCCUUCAUGAGAGGGACACGACAGAGUGUGUGGUUUAUAUCCUAUUGCAAAAAGUUAUGUCAGCCGGGGAACUAACGAAACCCUGGCGAAAAAUCAAUAAGAAAAGGUGAGACACUUGGGAAGGAUAUUACUAUCGAUAAUGAUAUUUCCAUCGAAAUCCUGGACCGUCCCGAUUAAAUCGCAGAGGAACGACACUUGGGGGGAGGGGUUAAUCAGUAAGAGUUCAGCAUACUCCUUAGAGCUUCCUCGAGUUUCAAAAAAAUCCAUGAGGAUUUUCUUUCCUGGAAAGUGACACAAAAGGUGUACAGAGUGUCCCAAUUUAACUUAGACGCCAAAAUUUCUCGAAAACGAUGCGUUUUCUAAGAAAAAAAUGUAUCAAAUAUAAGUUGUAGGGUCUGAAAAAGGCCAUCAGAUAAGCUCAGAUUUGGUUUCGAGACUCACUUUGGACCUAAUAAAGUUUAAGUUGUUUUUCUUCGGCGGGAAUAUCUUUAUUUUAUUACAAAUUUGUAUUCUAUAGAAAAAAAUAAGAAAAUUUUGCUCCUGGUAAAUUCUGCUCCUGGUUUUCGAUAAACUUUGUCUAACAGGCGCAAAAUAGUGCUCAAAGUUCUUAUUAUGAAACACUUGACGAUCAAUGAAAACAAAUCCAACGGACGAUUCGGCCAACGAAGAUAAGAUCAAGGAAUGAUCCAGCCAAUGAAAGCAAGACUAGGGGACGAUACGGCCAGUGAGGGCAAGAUAAGGGAAUAGUGUAGCCAGUGACGAUGAAUAAUGGAUUAUGGACUAUUUGAUCUAAUCUUUGCCAUUACAUCAUUCUGUCUGUAUCAAAUAUUCAAAAUGUCCAUAUAUUCUUUAACCCUUUGAAGCACAAAUUUUUCCUUCUGUUUAUUUUUUAUCAAAUUUGGUAUCUGGGGAUUUUUAAGGUCGCUAAUCACAAAUCUGGGAUUGAAAUUGAAAAAUUUUUUAAAUCUAAUUUGGCGGAUCCAAUAUGAAGGACCAAAAUUGCAACGAACCAAUCAAAUCACUUCAAAUUUGAUAUUCUAGAGUUUUUGGGAUUGCUGAUUACGAAUCUUGAGUCAAAAUAGAAAAUUUGCCAAAAUUCAAAAUGGCGAAUCGAACAUGGCCGGCUAUAAUUGCAGAAAAUUUAGAAAAUUAAUUCAAAUUUAGUAUUUUUAAGUUUUUGAGACUGAUAACGAAUUCAAAGUUAAAAUUAGAAAAUUGUCGAAAUCAAAGAUGGCGGAUUCAAUAUAACGAGCCAAAAUUGCAGCAGGUAAUUACAUAACUGGAGGUAUUCGUAGUCUCUAUCUUGGAUAAAAGAUCAGAUAUUAUUGAUUACUUAUCUAAUAAUGCGUAAUCCAUUCUCGCUUUUAGCGUUAGUUAGUCGUUUUCGCAAUAUCACAUUUCAUAAUUUGUACUUGGAAGCUUUAAAAGUCAUAGACACUGAGUAUUUGCAUAUUUAAUCCACUAUUUUGUAUUCAACAUUUUGAAUUUUAUAAUUUAAUUUCGACCACAGAUUCGCAAUUAGCGACCCGAAAACUCUCGUUUGGAUACCACUUUUGAAGAGAAUUGCUUGAUUUUCUGCAUUUCAAUCCAUCAUAUUAGACAUUUUGAAAUUUGAAAAUUUUCUAAUUCUGACAUCAGAUUCGUAAUCAGCCACCUGAAAAAACCCUGUAUAUAAGUUUUAACAUCUAAAUUUGGAAACGUCGUUGAAAAAUGUAUUUUCUCUGAAAAACAGGCAUUUUUUUAACUUGGUUAUUUUUAACACUUGCAACAAAGUGUAUUUUGACGACUUUUUUUACAUUCUCUGUGACGAUGCAAAUUUUUGCUCAUCAAUCAGGUCUGUGGUCUGACCGAGGAUGACCGAGGAUGAGCCGGAAACUCGCGCCUUUUCGUAGGAGAAAGAGACCGAAUUUAGUAAUUUUGUCUCAUGCGCCGCUUGGCUCACGAGACGCGACCCGCGGCUAUUAUUAUUUUUGAUAAGCGUAAGGUCACCCACGAUGAGCCAGUGCAUCGGACGUAAGGAGAUUGGAGAAAUCGGAGCCUGGAGGAACCAGGCGCGAACGAGAGCGAGGAGCGACUAGAGCAGCGUGCGGAAGGGCGCGGGAAAUCUUUGUUUCCCGGGCGAACAGCUGGCGACGAACAGCGGGGAUGGCCACCUUGCGCUAAGAAAGGCGUAAGGCUUCGCGACUUGAUCGCAGAUUAUGCGAGGGAGGACCCCGGGGGAAAUCUUUCGAACUGCGAGCCCAAUAGUUGCCGAAUGUCGUCCCGAGAGGAACAAGCGCAAGCUAAGCGUCGAAUAGAGGACUCUAGACGCGAAGCUCUCGCGAGCAUCUGUGAUAAGUGUGAUCCAGCCGGGAGAAUCAAUAGGAUGCCGUAUCGAUCGGCGCGACAGAUCCUUGGCAACGGCUGUCUCCUGCGCUAAUUGACGAGUCCUGCUCGUCACUGUGCGGCCCAACGGCGAGCGCUACGGAUGUCCCGGAGCGAGAACGAGCGAGCGAAGCUGCCGAAAUAACGGGACAACUUGCUGAGAAGAAACGAGCUUGAGGCGGCGAGUGGCAUUCUUCACGUGCUCCCAGUAAAAAUCAAGAAGAUUCAAGUCUGGUGAUCUCGGAGGAGACCACAAACUGGCCUUUCUCAGCUUAUCCAACGAUUUGGGAAUUCCGCAUCUAGGAAUCUUCUGAUAUCUCGAGCGAAAUGUGCAGGGCAUCAUUUUACUGAAACUAAAAUCUUUGACGAAUAUUUAGCAGAAUAUUCUUGAAGUAUCCUAGUAAAUGGUUCUGAAGAAAAUCUAAAUAAAUUGGACCGUUAAUAGUACAUUCGAAAAAUGCGGUCCGAUAAUCUGGCCAUUAAAUAUUCCAAUCCAAAUAUGGAGGCUCCAAUAAUUGAUUGAGCACUUGUCGGGAUCAAUAAGGAUUUACUGAUCGAGGAAUUCCUAGUACUCGUUCCAUUUGACGAGUGCUGAUGGAUUCAAAUGGACCAUGUUUAAUGGAUUCUGAGAAGUCUAGGAUUGUUACGGUUUUGAAGCGUAUUUCUUUGUCUUUGUGAGACGAACGGAAAGAGGCCAGGCUUCUGAGCGUUAUAGAAGGCGUAAAGCCGGCGGACAUAUUGAGAAGGCUUGAAGCACAGUUCGGGGACAAUACGCUUAAGAAGACUCAAGUGUACGAGUGGCACAAACAAUUUUUAGAAGGACGGGAAACUGUUGAAAAUGAGGGGCACCGACGUCGCCUGAGGACCAGCGUGACAAAGGAGAAUAUUCGUCUAGUUAGCAGCCUUAUCGAGGGUGACUGUCGCUGAAAUUGCUUCUGAGGUCGGAAUAAGCUUCGGCAGUACUCAGGCAAUCAUUACUGACGACCUUGGGUUUCGAAAAGUGUCCGCUAGAUGGGUCCUUCGUCUUCUCACCGAAAAUCAGAAACGGCACUGUUUGGAGGUGCGCCAUACAGCUGCCUUAACUCGUUAAAAAAUGGAAGAACUGGUCUGGACUACACUGGAACAUCCUCCCUACAGUCCGGACUUAUCGCCCUGCGAUUAUCAUUUGUUUGGACCAUUGAAAGAAGCACUUGGAGGACAAAGAUUUGACAACGAUGCUUCUGUCGAAUCCUUCGUGAGCGAUUGGCUGCUGUCACAGCCGCCUUCAUUUUAUGAUAACGGAAUUAAAAAACUGGUUACCCGUUUGGAAAAAUGUGUUUCGAAGUCCGGGGAUUAUGUAGAAAAAUAGUUAUGUAUGUUAAUUUUUUUAUGAUGUUUUAAUUAAACAAAAAAAAUAAUUCCGGUUUAUAUUUGAUUCACCAUCGUAUUAUUUCCUAUGCACUGCCGGCAAUUAGGAUAUCGCAUAAGACAUAAAAGUCGUCUAUAAUUCCUAUUACUCACCUAGAGUAAUCAGAAUGUCAUUUGGUUUAUUAUUCGCCAAGUAGAAAAAUUUAACUUUUCAAGUAGAAUGUGCACUAUAUCAUUUGGUUUAUUAUUCGCUAAGUAGAAAAAUUUUACUUUUCAAAUAGAAAAAUUUAACCCGGAUUCGAAAAUAUCAAACUAUUAUUGAUCAAGUGAUUAUUACAAAAUUAAUGCUAUGACAGAUUUACCCAGAGAAAACUUGGUAAUAGAAUGUUACUAUUCUCUUCCUUUCUUAAAAAAAUAAAAUAGCGGAUAACAGAUAUGCAGGAGUAACAGGAUUGA